rnacentral:rRNA from 1 species
UACGUAGGUGGCGAGCGUUGUCCGGAUUUACUGGGUGUAAAGGGCGUGUAGGCGGGGAAACAAGUCGGAUGUGAAAUCCCGGGGCUUAACUCCGGAGCUGCAUCUGAAACUGUUUUUCUUGAGUGCUGGAGAGGAAAGUGGAAUUCCAAGUGUAGCGGUGAAAUGCGUAGAGAUUGGGAGGAACACCAGUGGCGAAGGCGGCUUUCUGGACAGUAACUGACGCUGAGGCGAGAAAGCGUGGGGAGCAAACAGG